rnacentral:rRNA from 1 species
UCGGAGCCAUAUCACUCUGCAGCCAAAGAGUGGUUACUCACUGUAGCUAUGCAGGGCUGAGCCUGGUCAGGACCUGUAUGGGAGACCACGUGGGAAAACUAAGUUGCUGUUGGAA